rnacentral:rRNA from 1 species
GGAGAUGGAUUCUGAGACACGAAUCCAGACCCUACGGGGUGCAGCAGGCGCGAAAACUUGGCAAUGCGAGCAAUCGUGACCAGGGAACUCCAAGUGCGUAGGGUAAGACCUACGCUUUUCUUGACUCUUCAAAGGUCUUGGAAUAAGGGGUGGGUAAGGACGGUGCCAGCCGCCGCGGUAAUACCGGCGCCUCAAGUGGUAGUCGCUUUUAUUGGGCCUAAAACGUCCGUAGCCGGUCUGGUGCAUUCGUGGGUAAAUCAACCCGCUCAACGGGUUGAAUUCUGCGAGCACGGCCAGACUUGGGACCGGGAGAGGUGUGGGGUACUCUCAGGGUAGGGGUAAAAUCCUGUCAUCCUGAGAGGACCACCUGUUGCGAAGGCGCCACACUAGAACGGAUCCGACGGUCAGGGACGAAACCUAGGGGCACGAACCGGAUUAGAUACCCGGGUAGUCCUAGGUGUAAACGCUGUGGACUUGAUGUUGGGGGCGCUCCGAGCGCUCCCAGUGUCGAAGCGAAGGUGAUAAGUCCACUGCCUGGGGAGUACGGUCGCAAGGCUGAAACUUAAAGGAAUUGGCGGGGGAGCACUGCAACCUGAGGAUUGUGCGGUUUAAUUGGAUUCAACGCCGGGAA